UAUGUGAUCGUCUCUCGCAUAUCAAUAAGCGGAGGAAAAGAAACUAACAAGGAUUCCCCUAGUAACGGCGAGUGAAGCGGGAAGAGCUCAAAUUUGAAAUCUUAAAGGGUUUCCCUUUACGAAUUGUAGUUUAAAGAAGUGUUUUCUGUUGAGGUUUUGGUAAAAGUUCUUUGGAAUAGGACAUCAUAGAGGGUGAGAAUCCCGUAUUUGACCUUUACUUUCAACUUUGUGAUACACUUUCAAAGAGUCGGAUUGUUUGGGAAUGCAGUCCAAAAUGGGUGGUAAAUUUCAUCUAAAGCUAAAUAUUGGCGAGAGACCGAUAGCGAACAAGUACCGUGAGGGAAAGAUGAAAAGAACUUUGAAAAGAGAGUUAAACAGUACGUGAAAUUGUCAAAAGGGAAGCGUUUGACACCAGUGUUGUUUUUCUGAAAAUCAAUUAAAGAACUGUUUAUGCUAAGCUUGUUUAGACUUUAUCAGCUAACUGUUUAGUUUUGAGCUUUUCUUUAAUGCACUUUUCAGUUAACAAGUCAACAUCAAUUUCUUUUGCUGUAAAAAAGCCUGAGGAAGGUGGCUUGAGAUUCGUCUUAAGUGUUUAUAGCCUCUUGCCUAUGCAGUCGGAGAGAUUGAGGUCUGCAGCGUAGAUCCUUCGGGGCUAAAUGCAUUUGUGCUAAGUUAUAGCAUUUUAUAGACAACUUGUUGACUAUGAUUUGUCUUGUAGCUUACUCGCUUAUGUUAUUUUACCUACGCUUAGGAUGUUGAUCUGUAGUGCGUGCGC
rnacentral:rRNA from 1 species